rfam:Gossypium hirsutum cultivar TM-1 chromosome 9, whole genome shotgun sequence
GCUUGUGGCUUAGUGGAAAGUAGCGUGUGGAGCAUUUAAGGGGAGGCAUGGGUUCGAAUCCCAUGGCAAGCA